UUGCAACCGAUCAACCAAUGACGUGCAACCAUAUAUUAUACAAUCCAACAAUAAAAUAAAAACUAAUUACAUUAGAUAACUUUUAUCUCUAAUCUAUUGAGACACGCAAGUCUCCAAAUAAAUUGGCUUGUGCACGCAGGCACAAAAUAUAGCCAUCUCUAAUACGAAGUCCUUAAUUUAAACAAAUUUAAAAUUUACAGAAUUCUGCAAACAUUAUACAUCACAUGUCGAAACAAAAAUAAAUAGGUCGCUAUUCAUGAUCAUCACCGAUAUGUAUCUCAUACAUCACAUAUAUUAUAAUUAAUUUUGGGUAUUUUAACUAACCGUUCAACGAUCAUUCGAAAAUUAGUGACUAAACUAUUAAAAACAAUCAAUCUUAUUGAUCAUUUAUAAUUUUAAUCAACAACUUAAUCUUCAAACAUAACAACUUGAUCUCAUCAAGUUAUUAAUUCGAUGUAAUCAAAU
rnacentral:lncRNA from 1 species